GGGCGUGUAGCUCAGUUGGUUAGAGCGUACGGUUCACAUCCGUAAGGUCUGUGGUUCAAUCCCACACACGCCCA
rnacentral:tRNA from 1 species